UUGAAACAAAAAAACAAAACAUAGUACUUUUAUGACAUAAUAAAGUGAUCAUCAAUACAUUUCUAUUUGUUGUAAGCUUAAUUAAGAGGAAAGUUAUGGCUGAAAUUAUUAAAUUUGUAUAUUUAAUGAUCUUUAUUUCUUUAUUACAUGCGGUAGUUGAAGUUGCUGGAAUUGCAAGGUUACAUUGCAGAUAUGACUCUGAUUGUUCCAAAUUUAAUUGUGCACCUCCUAUGGUUCCAAAAUGCAUUAGUUAUCAAUGUAGAUGUCAUUAAUUUAUAAGUAAACUCGAUCGUAAGAGAAUAAUAUUGAAAUCUCAAAAGACAAAGUUAAUAUUUCAUCUUUAAUAAUUAUGAAAUGGCCAUUAGAGCUAUUAUUAUUAAUAAAGAAUAAAUGUUAAUAAGGAUCA